CUAGAAGUUGCAUUUGUUGAUGUUGGACACUACAGAAAUGGUAACUUUGCAAGAAGCCAGAAACUUGUGAAACGUCGGUUGGAGAUGCCUUAUGAGGUUUUGGGGACAAAGAACUUGUCUCCGCCGCAGCUACCAUGGUUGUUGAUGACCAUGUCGAGGAUCUUUACAGGGUGGCCCUUUCUGUCCAGGCUUAGAUAUGUAGAGGGCUGCAAAUAUAAGAAUGUA